rnacentral:rRNA from 1 species
AUUGAACGCUGGCGGCAGGCCUACACAUGCCAGUCGAGCGGAUGAAGGGAGCUUGCUCCUGGAUUCAGCGGCGGACGGGUGAGUAAUGCCUAGGAAUCUGCCUGGUAGUGGGGGAUAACGUCCGGAAACGGGCGCUAAUACCGCAUACGUCCUGAGGGAGAAAGUGGGGGAUCUUCGGACCUCACGCUAUCAGAUGAGCCUAGGUCGGAUUAGCUAGUUGGUGGGGUAAAGGCCUACCAAGGCGACGAUCCGUAACUGGUCUGAGAGGAUGAUCAGUCACACUGGAACUGAGACACGGUCCAGACUCCUACGGGAGGCAGCAGUGGGGAAUAUUGGACAAUGGGCGAAAGCCUGAUCCAGCCAUGCCGCGUGUGUGAAGAAGGUCUUCGGAUUGUAAAGCACUUUAAGUUGGGAGGAAGGGCAGUAAGUUAAUACCUUGCUGUUUUGACGUUACCAACAGAAUAAGCACCGGCUAACUUCGUG